rnacentral:lncRNA from 1 species
UAAAAAUGAUAAUAACAAGAAGUAAUUGUAACAGGAUGCUGUUACGAAGUCUCCCAAACAAAGCUCCCAUAACUCGCCAUUCAUAUGGUCCCAUGUUCAUUUGAUUUGAUUUUUUGUCCCAUACAAGAAUAUGUAUGGCUUACGAGUAGGGAUCUCCACCAUUUACAAGUAUUCAAACAGGAGGGGGUGGUGGUGACCCCCAGGAAAUUUACCUACAUUCCAUUUGAUUUGUUUUAUUGUCCCCUACAAGAAUGUAUAUGGUUUAAGGUUGGG